UUCUGUUGAAAGAGCACUGAGGCAAGUUGAUGCUCCUUACAUAAUCGGCGUGAUCCGAGUUUACAAGGAUCCAAAUAAUGGAAGGAUUAAACUUGCAACCACCGGUACAACUGCUGAGAUUAGACAAUACCGGCACUUGGAAGAUGGUUCGGUGAAUGUUGUAACUCGUGGACAACAACGUUUUCGUUUGAGGCGCCGCUGGAUGGAUGUGGAGGGAUCACCUUGGGGGGAUAUACAGAUUG
rnacentral:misc_RNA from 1 species